UCCUCAGUAGCUGAUCAGUGGUAGAGCAGUCGGCUGUUAACUGACUGGUUGUAGGUUCAAAAACUUCAAAACAUGGGGAA